GUCUUAUUUCAUUUCAUUAGCAUAAUUUUAGAGUACAAAACUAUAAGAAAAACUAUAAUAAAAAAAAAAAUUCAAAUUAUUGCAUGACAACACAAUAAAUAAAUGAAAGCUCAUUGAAUAAUCCGAGAGAAUUUGCGUCUCUCUUGGGUCUUGUACUCUGUCAUAUAUGAAAUCAUUCUAACACUCACAAAAACGUCCUACACAUGAACUUUGGACAACGACCAUCCCUACCGCAUAGAACUAUAAAAAUAAAAAAAAUGUUACUAAAAUGUGAGAAAAUAUUAAGUACGAAGUAACGAAAAAUGUUGAAAAGGAAAAAAUUGUUUUACCUCUCAUGCUCAUUGUAACAAUAAGUGGAGAAAUAAAGAUGAUCAUAUCAAAAAUAUUUUUUGUUAUU
rnacentral:lncRNA from 1 species